UACGACUACAUAUCAGGCAUAUCAAUAAGCGGAGGAAAAGAAACUAACAAGGAUUCCCUUAGUAACGGCGAGUGAAGCGGGAAGAGCUCAAAUUUGAAAUCUUAAAGGUUUCUACCUUGACGAAUUGUAGUUUAAAGAAGUGUUUUCUGUUGGAGUUUCGGUAAAAGUUCUUUGGAAUAGGACAUCAUAGAGGGUGAGAAUCCCGUAUUUGACCGUUACUUUCCAGCUGUGUGAUACACUUUCAAAGAGUCGGAUUGUUUGGGAAUGCAGUCCAAAGAUGGGUGGUAAAUUUCAUCUAAAGCUAAAUAUUGGCGAGAGACCGAUAGCGAACAAGUACCGUGAGGGAAAGAUGAAAAGAACUUUGAAAAGAGAGUUAAACAGUACGUGAAAUUGUCAAAAGGGAAGCGUUUGACACCAGUGUUGUUUAGUUGAAAAUCAAUUCAAUAGUUUUUGAUUCUAAGUAGUAUUGACUUCAUCAGCUUGCUGCUUUCUUCUCAGAAAUUAUUGAAUGCACUUUUCAGUUAACAAGUCAACAUCAAUUUCUUUUGUUGUAAAAGGGUAAGAGGAAGGUGGCUUGCGCUUCGGCUCAAGUGUUUAUAGCCUUUUAUCUCUGCAAUCGGAGAGAUUGAGGUCUGCAGCGUAGAUCCUUCGGGGUUAGAUACAUUGGUGCUAAGCUAUAGCCUUGUAUAGACAACUUGUUGACUAUGCUCAGUCAUGUAGCUUACUCGCUGAUGCUAUUUUACCUACGCUUAGGAUGUUGAUCUACAGAGCGAGAGU
rnacentral:rRNA from 1 species